rnacentral:lncRNA from 1 species
GAUGUGCCAGCCUGAACCUUCUGGAGUCCACAUCCCACCCGUGCUGCUCCGGUGGGCAAUCCCAGUGCUGACCCGUUGGGGAACAGGACCGUGCCAGCCACCUCUGUGGGGACAUCCAUCUCCUGUUCACCGGAGAGGAGAGUGGGAAUCGGGAGCUGCACGAGGCACAGGGGCUGACCCCAAAACCCCACCUGCAGGUCCCUGGACACGGGUGACACCACCAGAGCCAUCAGUGGAGACAUCUUUGCUCCUGCAAGAUGGGAUGCAGUCACCGUCCCAGCAGAAAGAGCCGCAGGAGCACGUGGCUUCCAAGGAGACCUCUCACCUUCUGCUUGGGCUUCUCAGCCCUUCCUGCUCAGAUCACCCAACCUUGGAAAAUGGGA